CCAAGGAGUCUAACAUGUGCGCGAGUCGUCGGGUCUUGAAUAGGCCCGCAGGCGAAAUGAAAGUGAAGGACGAUUACGUCCGCGUUGGGAUCCCCGGGCCGCCGAGUCCGGGGCGCACCAACGGCCCGUCCCGUCCGCAGCGUCGGUGGGACGGAGCGAGAGCGUACACGUUGGGACCCGAAAGAUGGUGAACUAUGCCUGGGCAGGACGAGGCCAGAGGAAACUCUGGUGGAGGUCCGCAGCGAUUCUGACGUGCAAAUCGAUCGUCAGACCUGGGUAUAGGGGCGAAAGACUAAUCGAACCGUCUAGUAGCUGGUUCCCUCCGAAGUUUCCCUCAGGAUAGCUGGCGCUCGAGGGAGUCAGUCUCAUCCGGUAAAGCGAAUGAUUAGAGGCCUUGGGGCCGAAACGACCUCAACCUAUUCUCAAACUUUCAAUGGGUGAGAAGUCCGGUUUACAUGACUGAAGCCCGGACAAUUCUCAGGAUGCGAGUGCCCAGUGGGCCACUUUU
rnacentral:rRNA from 1 species